rnacentral:rRNA from 1 species
CGAGGGUGCAAGCGUUGCUCGGAAUUAUUGGGCGUAAAGGGUAGGUAGGUGGUCUCGUUUGUCUGGGGUGAAAGCCUUGAGCUUAACUCAAGAAGUGCCCCAGAAACGGCGAGACUCGAGUAUUGGAGAGGGUCGUGGAAUUCCCGGUGUAGCGGUGAAAUGCGUAGAGAUCGGGAGGAACACCAGCGGCGAAGGCGGCGACCUGGACAAUUACUGACACUCAACUACGAAAGCGUGGGGAGCAAACAGGAUU